rnacentral:rRNA from 1 species
GGGGGAUGCAGGGCGCAGCCUGAUCCAGCCAUGCCGCGUGAGUGAUGAAGGCCUUCGGGUUGUAAAGCGCUUUUGUUGGGAAAGAAAUCGACCUUGGCUAAUACCCGGNUGGNAUGACGGUACCCAUAAGAAUAAGCACCGGCUAACUNCGUGCCAGCAGCCGCGGUAAUACGAA